rnacentral:rRNA from 1 species
UCUACAGGCUUAACACAUGCAAGUCGAGGGGCAGCAUUUUAGUUUGCUUGCAAACUGAAGAUGGCGACCGGCGCACGGGUGAGUAACACGUAUCCAACCUGCCGAUAACUCCGGAAUAGCCUUUCGAAAGAAAGAUUAAUACCGGAUAGCAUACGAAUAUCGCAUGAUAUUUUUAUUAAAGAAUUUCGGUUAUCGAUGGGGAUGCGUUCCAUUAGUUUGUUGGCGGGGUAACGGCCCACCAAGACUACGAUGGAUAGGGGUUCUGAGAGGAAGGUCCCCCACAUUGGAACUGAGACACGGUCCAAACUCCUACGGGAGGCAGCAGUGAGGAAUAUUGGUCAAUGGGCGAGAGCCUGAACCAGCCAAGUAGCGUGAAGGAUGAAGGCUCUAUGGGUCGUAAACUUCUUUUAUAUGGGAAUAAAGUUUUCCACGUGUGGAAUUUUGUAUGUACCAUAUGAAUAAGGAUCGGCUAACUCCGUGCCAGCAGCCGCGGUAAUACGGAGGAUCCGAGCGUUAUCCGGAUUUAUUGGGUUUAAAGGGAGCGUAGGUGGAUUGUUAAGUCAGUUGUGAAGGUUUGCGGCUCAACCGUAAAAUUGCAGUUGAAACUGGCAGUCUUGAGUACAGUAGAGGUGGGCGGAAUUCGUGGUGUAGCGGUGAAAUGCUUAGAUAUCACGAAGAACUCCGAUUGCGAAGGCAGCUCACUAGACUGUCACUGACACUGAUGCUCGAAAGUGUGGGUAUCAAACAGGAUUAGAUACCCUGGUAGUCCACACAGUAAACGAUGAAUACUCGCUGUUUGCGAUAUACAGUAAGCGGUCAAGCGAAAGCAUUAAGUAUUCCAUCUGGGGAGUACGCCGGCAACGGUGAAACUCAAAGGAAUUGACGGGGGCCCGCACAAGCGGAGGAACAUGUGGUUUAAUUCGAUGAUACGCGAGGAACCUUACCCGGGCUUAAAUUGCAACAGAAUAUAUUGGAAACAGUAUAGCCGUAAGGCUGUUGUGAAGGUGCUGCAUGGUUGUCGUCAGCUCGUGCCGUGAGGUGUCGGCUUAAGUGCCAUAACGAGCGCAACCCUUAUCUUUAGUUACUAACAGGUUAUGCUGAGGACUUUAGAGAGACUGCCGUCGUAAGAUGUGAGGAAGGUGGGGAUGAUGUCAAAUCAGCACGGCCCUUACGUCCGGGGCUACACACGUGUUACAAUGGGGGGUACAGAAGGCGGCUACCUGGUGACAGGAUGCUAAUCCCAAAAACCUCUCUCAGUUCGGAUCGAAGUCUGCAACCCGACUUCGUGAAGCUGGAUUCGCUAGUAAUCGCGCAUCAGCCAUGGCGCGGUGAAUACGUUCCCGGGCCUUGUACACACCGCCCGUCAAGCCAUGAAAGCCGGGGGUACCUGAAGUACGUAACCGCAAGGAGCGUCCUAGGGUAAAACUGGUAAUUGGGGCUAAG